UACGUAGGGUGCGAGCGUUAAUCGGAAUUACUGGGCGUAAAGCGUGCGCAGGCGGUUUUGUAAGCCAGAUGUGAAAUCCCCGGGCUUAACCUGGGAAUGGCAUUGGAAACUGGCGGGCUUGAGUGCGGCAGAGGGGGGUGGAAUUCCUGGUGUAGCGGUGAAAUGCGCAGAUAUCAGGAGGAACACCGGUGGCGAAGGCGGGUCUCUGGGCCGUAACUGACGCUGAGGAGCGAAAGCGUGGGGAGCGAACAGG
rnacentral:rRNA from 1 species